rnacentral:rRNA from 1 species
AUGGAAAAGUGGAAUAAGUCCAACCAUAUUGCGCUUCUCAUCAUGAAAGCGACAAUAUCGCCGAACAUUUCUGAAGCACUCCCUAAGAAAGAUACUGCUAAAGAUUUCCUCACUGAAAUGGAGGAGCAAUUUAAAGGCUCCGACAAAGUGUAUGCUCAUGAGCUUUUUGCUAAACUUCUUCAGAAAUACACUAUUGACGGAAAUGUUAGGCAGCACAUAUUGAGGGUGGUAAAUGCUUUCACCAAGCUUAAGGCUUUGGAGUGUUCUUUAAGUGAAGCCCUUCUUGUCAUAAUUAUUCUUGAGUCUCUUCCUGAAGAGUUUGAACAAUUUAAGGUCAACUAUAACUCUCUAAAGGAAAAAUGGCCACUCUCUGAGAUGACCGCAAGGAUCGUCCAGGAGGAAGAAAGGAUCAUGAGGCAGAAGAAAGACCAUGUCUUUCAUGUUGGCUCUAACAAGAGAAAGCAUGACGGACAAGGUUUCCCUAAGCCUCAGAAAAGGCAAGUCAAGAAAGAAGGCACUAAUCCAUUCAACCCUACGGCAUUCAAGGGUAAAGAAGCCGGUGGUUCUUCUUCUGCUCCUAGCAGCUCACUGCUGGAGAAAAUGCUUGUAACUUCUGCAAAGAAGAGGGACACUAUCAAAGGGACUGCCCAGGCUUUCUAA